GCCGGCGUAGCUCAAUCCGGGAGAGCAGCCGCCUUGUAAGCGGAAGCGUGCAGGUUCAACUCCUGUCGCCGGCCCCA
rnacentral:tRNA from 1 species